rnacentral:rRNA from 1 species
GCCAGACUCCUACGGGAGGCAGCAGUGGGGGAUAUUGCACAAUGGGGGAAACCCUGAUGCAGCGACGCCGCGUGGGUGAAGAAGCGCCUCGGCGCGUAAAGCCCUGUCAGCAGUGAAUUGACGGUACCUGCAAAGGAAGCACCGGCUAACUCCGUGCCAGCAGCCGCGGUAAUACGGAGGGUGCGAGCGUUAUCCGGAUUUAUUGGGUUUAAAGGGUGCGUAGGCGGAAUGCCAAGUCAGCGGUAAAAUCGCGGGGCUCAACCUCGCUCCGCCGUUGAAACUGGCGUUCUUGAGUGGGCGAGAAGUAUGCGGAAUGCGUGGUGUAGCGGUGAAAUGCAUAGAUAUCACGCAGAACUCCGAUUGCGAAGGCAGCAUACCGGCGCCCAACUGACGCUGAAGCACGAAAGCGUGGGUAUCGAACAGGAUUAGAUACCCGAGUA